rnacentral:rRNA from 1 species
GACGAACGCUGGCGGCGUGCUUAACACAUGCAAGUCGAACGGAAAGGCCCUGCUUUUGUGGGGUGCUCGAGUGGCGAACGGGUGAGUAACACGUGAGUAACCUGCCCUUGACUUUGGGAUAACUUCAGGAAACUGGGGCUAAUACCGGAUAGGAGCUCCUGCUGCAUGGUGGGGGUUGGAAAGUUUCGGCGGUUGGGGAUGGACUCGCGGCUUAUCAGCUUGUUGGUGGGGUAGUGGCUUACCAAGGCUUUGACGGGUAGCCGGCCUGAGAGGGUGACCGGCACCAGUGGCGCGGCGACGCCGCGCGGACUGCGGAGGGAGGCAGCGGUGGGGGAUACUGGACAGGGGGCGGACGCCGGGUGCCGCAACGCGGCGGGGGUGUGGACGGGCGUGGGUGUGUCAACCGCUUCCGCUUGUGAGGGUGGGGGAGGGAGGGUAAUGAGGAAAGAAGCACCAGCUAACUACGGACCGGCGGAAGCGGUAAGAGGCGGAAGAGCACACGUUUGAAC